GAUGAACGCUGGCGGCGUGCCUAAUACAUGCAAGUCGAGCGAACAGACGAGGAGCUUGCUCCUCUGACGUUAGCGGCGGACGGGUGAGUAACACGUGGAUAACCUACCUAUAAGACUGGGAUAACUUCGGGAAACCGGAGCUAAUACCGGAUAAUAUAUUGAACCGCAUGGUUCAAUAGUGAAAGACGGUUUUGCUGUCACUUAUAGAUGGAUCCGCGCCGCAUUAGCUAGUUGGUAAGGUAACGGCUUACCAAGGCAACGAUGCGUAGCCGACCUGAGAGGGGGAACGGCAAAAAGGGAAUGGGGAAACGGCCCAAACCCCCACGGGGGGCAGGAGGGGGGAAUUUUCCGAAAGGGGGGAAAGCCGGACGGGGAAACGCCGGGGGGGGGAAGAAGGUCUUCGGAUAGUAAAACUCUGUUAUUAGGGAAAAAAAAAUGGGAAAGUAAAUAUGCAGGUUUUGACGGUAACUAAUCAGAAAGCCACGGCAAAAUAAGG
rnacentral:rRNA from 1 species